rnacentral:lncRNA from 1 species
GAGAGAGUAAUAUGAAAAUGAUUUCUUAUAUAUAAGAGAGAGAGAGAGAGAGAGAGAGAGAGAGAGAUGAAAAGGAGUUCUUAUAUAUCAGAGAGAGAGAGAGAGAGAGAGAGAGCAAUAUGAAAAGAGCACUAAGAAAAGGAUAUUAGAUGAUUUAAUCGACAUUUGAAGAAAAUUUUAAAUCUCCUUGGAAAACAAUAUAUAUAAAUAUAAGAGAGAGAGAGAGAGAGAGAGAGCAAUAUGAAAAGGACACUAAGGAAAGGAUGUUAGAUAAUUUAAUCU